GCCACCGGCAGCCGCGGGUCUAAAGAACGAAGCAAUACACAGGAGAAGGAGAUAUUGCAAAGCACCAGGGGAUGAAAUAUCGUCAGACAAACUGCAUGUAACAAUGAAGCAGGUGAAAGCAGCACAACCAACCGUACGAGAUGAACCUGGACACCAGCUGAGACCAGGAGACUGGGUGAACCUGGACACCAGCUGAGACCAGGAGACUGGGUGAACCUGGACACCAGCUGAAACCAGGAGACUGGGUGGUGGUGAAGGACUUCCAGAAGAGGUGGUGCGAACCAAGGUGGCGUGGGCCAUUCCAGAUCCUGCUCACGACUCCAUCCACAGUCCGGGUGACUGAACAAACAUCUUGGAUUCACGCCAGUCACUGCAAAUUGUAUUUUUCUGUGAACAUGUUAUCAUUUAUAUGAUAAAAGGAGGGAUUGUGGGAGAAAAAUAUAAUGUAACCUAGGAUAUAUGUAUCCCGAUAUGUACAAUGCAUAUAGUUAGAAAACUGCUUAAAAGAAUAAAAUGUGCUUGUGACAGAUAACCAGCAAAAAUGUAAGGGAGGGGUGAGUGCUCUGCCACACCUUACGUCAUAUAGGCAUACGUACAGGAGAUAAAGCGGAACACUCUCCCAUUGUUGGGUGCGCUCAUGUGCUUGUUAUGAUAAAAAUAAUGAGCCUAACCAGCCUAAGGAGGAAAGACGGAUGAUAAAUGUAAGCUUUCUAGUUGCUGUAGCAGUGUGUUAAUUGCAAAACAAAUGUUACAUGACUUAAAGGGCAGAUGUGGGCCCAGGAGUACAACGUGUGAUGGAAAAGUACUGAAACACUGUAUGAAGAUGAUUGGCUUUCACCGUAAUGUAUUCAUGUGAUAACUGAGGAUGUGUAAUGGUAUAAGAAUAGACACCCUGUCUGCUAAAAUCUAGAGUGUAUUCUCACAUUGGUGUGACGCAUUCUCCGUGCUUUGUUUUGCUGCAGUAUUAAUAAAGUUUGUAUUAUUGUAGCUCUCCUUGCUGUGAAAGAACAGGAAAGGUUGCUUGAAAGACGUCUCUCCAAGGAAUUUCCCCAACAACAUCUGUGGCAUCUCGCAGAUCUCAGCUCGCAGGUCACACAUUUUCAAAGAGAGCUGGCAGACAGGUCGGGAUCUGGCAGCCCUCCUUUAGCUCCAUCAGGCCCGCCGUUUUUGGAAAGGUUACUAUGACAGGCCCAUACGUGCCGUUACACUGCAGGUGAACAGGCCAACAUGUUCAGUUUCCCAAAAGUAGUCGAUGCCACUGACUGCACUCACCAGUGUAGGGAACAGGAUUAACCCAGCACUCACUCUGGCACACAGCAGUGUAGGGAACAGGAUUAACCCAACAUUCACUCUGGCACACAGCAGUGUAGGGAACAGGAUUAACCCAGCAUUCACUCUGAUACACAACAAUGAAGGGAACUUGAUUAACCCCGCACUCACUCACUCUGACAUACAGCAGUGUAGGGAACAUGAAUAACCCAGCAGUCACUCACUCUGACACAUGAAACUGGUAAACGCAAAUUCAUGGAACCUUAUUGUAUUGCUUGAGGUACAGCAGGUCAGUGUGUGGAAGUGCACACAACCUCAGACUGGGGCAAUGGUUCACCUUUCAGCACGACAAUGACCUGGAACAUACAGCCAAGACAACGCUGGAGUGGCUUUGGGACAAGUCUCUGACUCUGUGGUUCUGAUACACACUGUAACCUCUACAUGAAUGUUCAUCAGGUUCAUACUCCUCAUUUUACUGUACUAUUUUAUCCAGGGUCUAAACUGCGUGCUGAUACAUUCAGCGAGCAAUUUAUUAGGUAGACCUGUACACCAACUUGUUAAUGCCAAUAUUUAAUCAGCCAAUCAUGUGGCGGAAACUAAAUACAUACAAGCAUGCAGACAUGGUCAAGAGGCUCAGCUGUUUUUCAGACCAAAUGUCAGAAUGGGUAAUAAAUGUUAUCUAAGUGA